GGGCCCGCACAAGCGGUGGAGCAUGUGGCUUAAUUCGAGGCAACGCGAAGAACCUUACCUGGGCUUGAAAUAUAGAGGACAGUCCGUGAAAGCGGAUCUUCCUUCGGGACUUCUAUACAGGUGCUGCAUGGCUGUCGUCAGCUCGUGCCGUGAGGUGUUCGGUUAAGUCCGGCAACGAGCGCAACCCGUAUCUUCAGUUGCCAGCAGGUAAAGCUGGGGACUCUGAAGAGACUGCCCGUGUUAAGCGGGAGGAAGGCGCGGAUGACGUCAAGUCAGUAUGGCCCUUACGUCCAGGGCUGCACACGUGCUACAAUGGGCGGUACAAUGAGACGCAAAAUCGCGAGAUGGAGCAAAUCUACAAAACCGUUCUUAGUUCAGAUUGCAGUCUGCAACUCGACUGCAUGAAGUCGGAAUCGCUAGUAAAGGCGUAUCAGCUACGACGCCUUGAAUACGUUCCCGGGCCUU
rnacentral:rRNA from 1 species